rnacentral:rRNA from 1 species
AUUGAACGCUGGCGGCAUGCCUUACACAUGCAAGCCGAACGGUAACGCGGGGCAACCUGGCGACGAGUGGCGAACGGGCGAGUAAUGCAUCGGAACGUGCCUAGGAGUGGGGGAUAGCCCGGCGAAAGCCGGAUUAACACCGCAUACGACCUACGGGUCAAAGCGGUGGAACGUAAGGCCUCGCGCCAUUGGAGCGGCGGAUGUCAGAUUAGGUUGUUGGUGAGGUAAAAGCCUACCAAGCCGACGAUCUGUAGCUGGUCUGAGAGGACGACCAGCCACACUGGGACUGAGACACGGCCCAGACUCAUACGGGAGGCAGCAGUGGGGAAUUUUGGACAAUGGGGGCAACCCUGAUCCAGCAAUGCCGCGUGCGGGAAGAAGGCCUUCGGGUUGUAAACCGCUUUUGUCAGGGAAGAAACGCUCUGGGCUAAUACCCCGGGGUAAUGACGGUACCUGAAGAAUAAGCACCGGCUAACUACGUGCCAGCCGCCGCGGUAAGAC